AAUAUUUAGACCAGCUGAAAAUAGGAGCCCAUGAAAAGAGGAGCCCAUGACUAAUUAUUAGGGUUUCACACUCCUAAUCCUAGCCGUCAAACACCCAAAUCCCCCAUUCUUUCCUCUCUCAUUUUGCUAACUCAAUCUCUCUCUUCUACGACUCAAUUCACUCAAUCUCCUCCAUUUCACCACCCUAAUUCCUUUAUUCUCUUGUUUGUUAGAGUAUUUAGAAUGUCUGAAGGACUAUUACUCCCUCUACACCGUCGACGGCGGCGAUAAGGCCGUCAUCUUUGACCGUUUUUGCGGAGUUCUCGAUGAAAUUGUCGGCGAAGGUACUCAUGUCCGAAUUUCAUGGCUCCAGAAGCCUUACACCUUCGAUAUUCGUACUCGACCUCACAAUUUUUCAUCAAUUUUUGGUACUAAGGAUCUUCAGAUGGUGAAUCUUACUCUUAGGGUUUUGUCUCGUCCUGAUCAGAAUCGUCUUCCUCAUAUUUUUCAGACUCUUAGGUUCCGUCAUCAUAUUGGAGUAUGAUGAGAAGGUUCUUCCUUCUAUUGGUCUUGUUCGAGAUAGCUUGAUUAAGAGGUAUUCAUUUUGUUAAUUCUGUAAUUUUUUUCUGGAGAUCUUGAGUUAGGGUUUUAUUCAACGCAUAAAUUGUUUCUUGGUUUUUUUUUUUAUAAUUUGAAUAUUUUGGUGUUAAAUUGGUCAUAAAGAUGCAUUUAGUAGGAAUUUUAUGCUAUUGUUGUUGUUUUCCCUGAUUAUUAUGUUGCAGUAGUUAGCUGAUUGUGUAGUUGAAGUUAUAACUUGUACAUUUUGAUUGAUCCUGAGACUAGUUGUGUGUUUGUUGCGAACAUUUUAAUUGCACUACUGUGUGUAUUUUAUUCUUUGACUUUGUUUUGCUCGGAUUCUAGGGUUUCUGUCAGUUUUUUUUGUAUGAUAAUGAUGGCUCUUUCGAUUUCUGCUGCGAUUUCCCCUCUUUUUAUUGUGUUUUAGUCUGAUUUCUAUUUUUUGUAUUUUUUUUUUGUUUUUUGCUUUGUUUUUAUUCCUGAUAAUAUGGUUAGGGAUUUCAGUUGAAUAUGACUGAUUUUUUUAUAUAAAGUCCACAUUUUCUUGGUUGAGAUUAUUUUAUUUUUCUUAGAAAUCGAUUGCCCUUGUAGUUUUAUGAGGGAUUUUAGUUGCGUAGGAAAUUAGUCAGCUAGAUUUACAAGGUUUUGAAAGCAUUUCGAUUUGUUUUGAGAGUUGAAUAAUAUAAGUGUUGUUAUUUAUUGUGUUAAUUAGCAUGUUUUUGGAAAGUGUUGUUUAUGGGAAACAAUAUAUACAAGUACAUUCAUUUGUUUAUGCUGUAUGUUAUUGAUGUUCGAUGAAAUCCAACUAUGGGAACUGGUUUCCUAUGUUCAAAUGUUCAAAUGUUUUCCUGCGAGUUCUCUUAGUUAGAUAUCAGAGAAACUACUAUGUUCUAUGAUCCAUCAUUGAUAAUUCAUGAAGGAGACAAUGGCGUUGUAUACAUAACACUGAAGUCGCAAUAAAGAUACUUAAUCCUGAUAGCUUGCAGGGUAAUGCAGAAUUCAAACAUGAGUUUGAUGUACUAAGCAAGUUGUGCCAUCCAAACCUGGUGAGUCUCAUUGGUGCAUGCCAUGACUCCUUGGCUCUCAUAUAUCAAGUAUCUUCCCAAUGGAAAUCUUGAAGACCGACUGAAUUGCAAAGACAACACUUCCCUGUUACCAUGGUAAACAAGAAUUCGGGUAGUCAUUGACUUAUGCUCAGCCCUUAACUUCCUACAUUCUAUCCAACCUUGCAGCAUUCUACACAGUGAUUUAAAACUAAAAAAUAUACUUCUGGACGCCAAUUUCUGCCAUAUUAUCUCUAACAACAAGCAGACUCUCACAACUGAUGAAUUAAUGGGAAGAAGCUUGAGGAUAUUAUUCCAUCUUCUCACAAUUGUGAUGCUCCCCAUGUCACUCGUACUGAUUAUCAGCUCCUUGACAUAACUGAGGAUGGUUUUGGGAGCGAAUUUGGGAUAAGGCUAGAAAAAAUCAGGUUAUCAUGGCGAUACAAGUUUGGGUAUGGUGACGAGUAAGCCGAGAGUACGACAAGAAAUGAUAUUGAGAUCUUCUCCGGCGGCUUUAAUAGUUCAGUGUGGAAUACACGGCUUCAAUAGCAAUUAGCAAGUGCAUGACUUGUUUUUAAUUUCUUUAAUUGAUAAAAUCAUUUGAAUGUAUGGCUUUUGUUAAUUGUAUUUGAAGUGUAUACUUGUAUAAAUUAUUAUUUAAUAUUAUUUAUUUUUUGUAAUUGAUAAAAUCAUUAACCAAACUAAGCUAUCCACUGUCCAGCAUAUGCUGAUUUUUUUUUUAAUUAGGACAAACACUAU